CAGAAGAAAAUGGAAUUAGAUCGGGGAAAGUCGAAAGUAGUUGAGUAGUCGACUGUGUCCGUCGAUAUCCGAGAGUUCCAAAGACUUGCUCGGGUUGGAAGAUGUUGGAGUCGUGAUCACACUAUCCGGUUAUGGCUUCGGUAAAUUAAAGCUUUGAGUUUUUGGUUAUGUGGCAUGUAUAGGCUAGUUUUAAUUUAAUUUUUGUAUAUAUAUUUAGCCAUGCGAAAAUGGCUUGAUCUAAUGCUAAUGAUCCAAGGUUUAAGUAAUUUUGGUCAUAGUAAA